rnacentral:rRNA from 1 species
AAACUAACAAGGAUUCCCCUAGUAACGGCGAGUGAAGAGGGAAGAGCUCAAAUUUGAAAGCUGGUACCUCCGGUAUCCGCGUUGUAACCUCGAGACGCGUUUUCCGUGCGGCGCUAUGGACAAGUUCCUUGGAACAGGACAUCGUAGAGGGUGAAAAUCCCGUACUUGCCAUGGAUGUACCGUGCUUUGCGAUACGUGCUCUAAGAGUCGAGUUGUUUGGGAUUGCAGCUCAAAAUGGGUGGUAGACUCCAUCUAAAGCUAAAUAUCGGGGAGAGACCGAUAGCGAACAAGUACCGUGAGGGAAAGAUGAAAAGCACUUUGGAAAGAGAGUUAAAAGUACGUGAAAUUGUCGAAAGGGAAGCGCUUGAAGUCAGCCAUGCCGCUCAGGACUCAGCCUGGCUUUUGCUUGGUGUAUUUCCUGGGUAGCAAGUCAGCAUUGGUUUGGAUCGUCGGAGAAGCAUAGUCGGAAUGUGGCGCCCUCGGGCGUGUUAUAGCCUUCUAUUGGAUACGACGAUCUAGACCAAGGAACGCAGCGCGCCUUAUGGC